GACGAAGGGGGCUAGCGUUGUUCGGAAUUACUGGGCGUAAAGCGCGCGUAGGCGGCUCUUCAAGUCAGGCGUGAAAGCCCCGGGCUUAACCCGGGAAUAGCGCUUGAUACUGUUGGGCUUGAGUCCGGGAGAGGAUAGUGGAAUUCCCAGUGUAGAGGUGAAAUUCGUAGAUAUUGGGAAGAACACCAGUGGCGAAGGCGGCUAUCUGGACCGGUACUGACGCUGAGGCGCGAAAGCGUGGGGAGCAAACAGG
rnacentral:rRNA from 1 species